rnacentral:rRNA from 1 species
AUGGAGCCGACCUUGAAAUACCACCCUUUAAUGUUUGAUGUUCUAACGUUGACCCGUAAUCCGGGUUGCGGACAGUGUCUGGUGGGUAGUUUGACUGGGGCGGUCUCCUCCUAAAGAGUAACGGAGGAGCACGAAGGUUGGCUAAUCCUGGUCGGACAUCAGGAGGUUAGUGCAAUGGCAUAAGCCAGCUUGACUGCGAGCGUGACGGCGCGAGCAGGUGCGAAAGCAGGUCAUAGUGAUCCGGUGGUUCUGAAUGGAAGGGCCAUCGCUCAACGGAUAAAAGGUACUCCGGGGAUAACAGGCUGAUACCGCCCAAGAGUUCAUAUCGACGGCGGUGUUUGGCACCUCGAUGUCGGCUCAUCACAUCCUGGGGCUGAAGUAGGUCCCAAGGGUAUGGCUGUUCGCCAUUUAAAGUGGUACGCGAGCUGGGUUUAGAACGUCGUGAGACAGUUCGGUCCCUAUCUGCCGUGGGCGCUGGAGAACUGAGGGGGGCUGCUCCUAGUACGAGAGGACCGGAGUGGACGCAUCACUGGUGUUCGGGUUGUCAUGCCAAUGGCACUGCCCGGUAGCUAAAUGCGGAAGAGAUAAGUGCUGAAAGCAUCUAAGCACGAAACUUGCCCCGAGAUGAGUUCUCCCUGACUCCUUGAGAGUCCUGAAGGAACGUUGAAGACGACGACGUUGAUAGGCCGGGUGUGUAAGCGCAGCGAUGCGUUGAGCUAACCGGUACUAAUGAACCGUGAGGCUUAACCUUACAACGCCGAAGG